GAGGGUAUAGCUCGAUGGUAGAGUGAGUGCUUAGCAUGCACUAGGUCAUGGGUUAAACCCCCAGUCCCUCCA
rnacentral:tRNA from 1 species